rnacentral:tRNA from 1 species
GCGGGUGUAGCUCAGUUGGUUAGAGCGCGGGUUUGUGGUACCUGAGGUCGCCGGUUCAAACCCGGUCACUCGCCCCA